rnacentral:misc_RNA from 1 species
GAAAUGCGAUAAGUAGUGUGAAUUGCAGAAUUCAGUGAAUCAUCGAAUCUUUGAACGCACAUUGCGCCUCCUGGUAUUCCGGGAGGCAUGCCUGUUCGAGCGUCAUUAAAAACCACUCAAGUGUCUUUUUCACUUGGUAUUGAACAGAGAUGACCCUGUGUUUUCUCGUUUGAAAUCGAAUGGCAGAUAGCUCAAGUAUCUCAGUGUAGUAACUUUAUUCGCUGUGAUGUGUAGUGCUUCUUGCCCUAAACCCCCAUCUUUUAGGUUGACCUCGGAUCAGGUAGGGAUACCCGCUGAACUUAA